AGAACCCAGGAAGAGGGAGAGAGGCACCAAAAGUUUAUGCAUGUAUUAAAAACAUACACACCACACACACACACACACACACACACCACACACACACACACACACACACACACACACACACACACACCGAGAAGUGAAAUGCAGAGAAGCAACAAUAGAAACCUGGUUAAGAUUUUUUUUUAAGAUUUUUUUUCUUUUUUUCUUUCUCUUUUCUUGUUUCUCUUUUCCCCUUUCUUUUUCUUUCUUGGGGGGGGGGCAAAUGCAACAAUGUUUAAAUUAAGGAGGAAGAGAGCAUCUUCAAAGAAGAGAGGAGUAAGGGGGGCGAUAAUGGAGUGGGACAGCUUAAAGAUUUAAGUGAAAGAGAAGCAGCAAAGACUUAGAAUGCAGGCCACUUUAAAUUGCAAAUCUGAGUUUGUUUGUUUUUUAAGGAGGAAAAUUACCUCCCUCGAGUCAGAGAACAAAUAAAAUGGGGAGGAAACUUUAACACGUACCAUAGACAAGACAAAAUUAUAUAUAUGUUAAUGUUGUGUUCUGAGAUAAGACGAAAUCAGUCUCCUCUGGUUCUUUAGAAGGCAAGGGGAAGAGGAGAGUGACUAUUAGGAGAAAUAAAAGGGGGAAAGUGAACCAGAAUGGAAAGGGGAGGGGGGGUAACUUAAGGGAAGACAAGAGAAGGGAAAGUUGCACUUGGAAACAAGUCCAACUUUCUACCUUCCUGGACUUGGGAGAAAAGUAAAAUCAAUUUUCUCGUGUAAAACCUGGAAAGCAGAUGUUUUCAAAAAUACAGGAAGCUAUUUUGCCAUCAAACGCAGGGAUGUAAUAAAGGCAGUGAAAAAUAAUUUCAGACGAAAUUCGUGAGAGAGAAAGCCAAUAUAUUUAAAGAGCGAGGAAAGGUCUCGAGUGGAGAAAAGGGGAAAAUUACAUACCCCUUCUCUAAUGGCAAAAAAAAAAAAAAAAAAAAAAAAAAAGUCUUACAGCUACCUCCAAGAGCAGUAAGACUUUGGAGCAGUCUGGAAGCCAAAGGGCUUGGAAUGAGAAGAUGGAUUUCAGAUAAAGACUAGGAGCGGUACAUCCCUCCAGAGCCCAAAGGAGAUCCCUGGAAUCAAAGACAGCAGCCAGGGACCCAGCUACUGUACUGAUUCCCACUACAUCAAAGCCAUCACUUAGGCGGGUGCAGGGUACCUCCAAAAAGCAAGCAAACAAAUGCAGGAAGAACAGAGUUUUCUCUCUCUCCUUCUCUCUCUCUCUCUCUCUCUCUCUCUCUCUCUCUCUCUCUCUCUCCUCCCCCUCCCCCUUCAAAUCCUAGCUUUAGCUUCACUGCUACUGCCAUAGAUUUUUUAAAAAUAAGAGUGUGUAUUUAUGUAAGUUCUAAAUAGCAACUAGUACCACUGAAGUCACAAUAUCUAGAAUAAAAUAAAAUGCACUCUGCACUUGAAGUGAUCUGCAAACACAUGUGAAAACAGCAUUUACGUGUUUGAAGGCAUCAGUGCACCCGGUAACAUCAGGUAGAGAGAGCGUGUGCACUGAAACUUAUUUUUCUUAGGGGGGAAAAAAUAUUGCCCCAGCUUAUGGGUUACUUAUUUUAGAGGAAAUUUGGGGAUUCAUUGUGAAAUCUGUUUGAUCGGAAAAGGAAUCCUUCAUUUUGAGAGAUUCCAGCAUGCAGCCUCUCAGUCAAGACUAGGGGGACAAGAUCGCUUUAGGAUUUUGCAGGGCUGCCUCAUCUAAUCCUUCUGAAUUCACUCUGGGAAUAAUGCUGUUUUAUUGGGGGGGGGGAGAAAAUACAUUUAGAAAAAAAUCGGGGGUUUCCUCUCUCUAAGCCAAAUCUGGAGCGCCAUUCAAACUUUUGCUGGCUGCUUUUCCAUGCGGGACAGUGAUCAAUAAAGCCAAGUCCAGCCUGGCUUGCUACAGGUUUCACCAGUCAGUGCUUGUAAAACCUUUGUCAUUUUCUAAAAAUAAAAAAGCUAAAAGUUAUUGUAGGAGAAGGGGCUUUUUUUUUGUCCCCUGCACAAUGUGCCUUUUGUAAGGUUAAUGCCAUUCUGGGCUCUAGAUAGCCCCGAACAAUGGGACCGCUCCAGGAGCCUGCAGACACUCUGGCUUUUUUCUUUCUUGAUUUUUUUUUUUUUUUUUAAGGGAAGGAUGAAACAUUCCUAAGGUCCAAACACAACUUCGACUUUGAUUCAAUAAAUAUUUAUCUUGAUGGUAGCCAUUGUAUAUUUUUACCUUCAGUUUGUCCGGUUUCUGAUUAUUAUUUUAAAAUUUUCAUUGGCAACAGUUAAUCUUUUUUUUCUCUCUCUCUCUCUCUUCCCUUUCAGUCCAAAGUGCAGGUCAGUGUAAAAUGUAGCUGACUGAAGGAAGACUGGUAAAUUCUGAAAUUUUCCCAAACACAUCAGGACUCGGGGAUCCUUUUGGAGUGAGAUAGCAUCAUUGCUUCCUCUUAAAGCAGCUCAGAUCCACUGGUCUAUAGCAACCCUGUCAGAGGGAAAUGAAGCAUGCUUACAGGCCAUUUACACAUGUGGCCAGGCAAUGGACUGCAAGAAUCCACCUUCCUUUCCUGUGGCCUUUUUCUGAACACUUAUGGAACGCCUGAGAACACUUGACAAACCCUCCAGAACAUGCCCCUACUGGAAAAGCCCCAGAGCCCCAGCUCCACAUACCUGUUCUGCAUGAGGUCUAGGGCAGUGGUUCGCAGCUGUAGAGGGGGGAGUGAGAGGAGGAGCGGGGUGAGGUGGAAGGGGGGGAGACACACUUUGCUUCCACCCUACCCAGGAGCAUUUGGGGACAUUUUUUGGUUGGUAUAGAGGUGCCAUUGGCAUAUAGUGGUAGAGGCCUGGAAUGCUUCUAAAUAUUUUAUUAUGUACAGGCCAGCCUCCCUCCACCAAUAAAGAACCAUCUGGCUCAAAAUGCCAAUAAUAAUUAUCUCCAUAAAAAUUUCAAGUAAAAAUAUAUAUGUAUAUAUAUCAAGAGCACCACUUUGGGGUGUCCCUGGUCUAGUGCUAUGAUUCUGAUCCCAAACCUGGGAAGACUGACAGAUCCACAUCAAAGGGUCAUGUACCUGCUGUGGGUCUGGGAAGUGGCUCACAGGUGACAGACACGGUGAGACACUCAGCAGUUCUAUGGUGAGGUAAGAGUGCCAAGGCUGGAAGCUCUGCCCAGUGGAAUGGUUUGGUCGGCAGCCUGUACAGAAGUAGGGAUACCUAUAGUUUUGACCUCAGAGUCACUUACUGGAAGGCCCUCGGUCACCUCCACUGGGGGGCAGAUGGAGGAAUGCAGGCUCAGUAGAAAUGUGGAAGAAGCAUCAAGCCACAUUCAUGGUCACAGAAGGGCCCCGAACAACAGGUUAUGAAGAUGUACUGGAGACUGUAAGGAUUCAGGAUUUCGAGGUGGACAUUACGCAAAUGUUCCAGCUGGAAAAGGUGUGGGAGUUGUGCUGACUGCAGCCAAGUCUGGGUCCUAUGGGAAUGAAAGGUGACUCGCUUUACCCGAAGCCCUGGAUGGCAGACACCUUUUCCCUGACUUGCUAUUAUUUUUGAUAUGGCCAAGAUUUUGAACAUCACCAGUUUUAUACAUCACAGAAAAGCUAGUAGAUUUAAUGAAGCCUCCAAAUUCCCCUUGAGAGAUGAUUACAGCUCUAAUUAAAAAUGGGGGUGACAGACAAGAAUCCCGUGGGAUUCUCUAAGCAAGUGGCAUUCGUACAUCUUCUUUCAUGGACCAGAUCUCGUUGCUCAUGUCAGCCUGGGUUCUUUCCAGUAAAGGUUACUGUUGCCAAAUUUGAACACAUUAUGAUAUUUAAUGUGGUUCAAAGAUCAGGAAGUAUUUAAACUUAUAAGGGAGAAGAAGUUUAUAAGCCAGGUUAGACUUCAAUUUCUUUCAUUUCAUAUACCUGGACUCACCACCUCCAUGAUUACAUGUUAGCCUAGAAUACAGGAGGAAUCACCUGGGUAAGGCAGGUCAGGGUGGAAUGAGUGGGGAGGUGAGGGUUAGCGCUCCACAUUCACAGAGGGCGGUAGGGACCAGGUGGGUAUGGCAAGUCAGGGUAGAUGGAGGGGCCACAAGUCCAGGUAAUCAAAUGAUGUUUAGAGCAUUAGCAAGUAGGUCUUGAAGAUCAAGGCAGUCAAAUGCACAGACUCAGGAGAUCAACCAUUGAGACAUCAGUUUCAGACAACAAACUACAAAUACGUGCUUGUUUUAUCCCAAGAAGACUGCUCUUCUGACCUCUAUAGUCUAAUCCCUAUGGUGCUGGCCAGUUACUGGAGAGCCCUGGCCCUCCAUAGGUUCUGAAAGGGGGGUCAUAACACUUAAUCUCCAUAGUGGAGUGGUGGGAUGGGUGAUAGCCAGAGAGAACCAGCAGCAGCAGACCCAAAGAGGCUGAUCAUUUAAUAAUGACCAUCAAGUCUUUUAUUAAUGGCUAGCAAUAUUUGGAGAUUCCCCUCACCAACAUUCAGACCUGGGGAUUUGUCUAUAGGAUUUAAGGUGAAGAAAUAUUCCUGAACCCAACUGCGUUUGCUUUGAGGCUGAUGGCACCGAGCGUCAUUGGCAGCCUCGAUUCCUCCCCAGACAGCUCCAUCUGAUCUUCAGAAUGUCUUCCCAUGAUUCCCAACGAGGAUGGGGUUCCUCUCCUGGGAACAUCUUGCUCCUCUCCAUCCACAGCUACCUGAAACGUCUCCUUGAGAACCCCUUGCCUGCCAAGUUCAGUGCACAUAAAUAUAUGGGCAAUUAUUUUUCUAGUAAUUAUUUCUCUCAUGACACUGAAGGUACUUUGAGCCCUGGAACCCUUUGUUUGAGCAUAUGAGUACCAUGUGCCCACACAGAACCUGCCACAUAGUAUACCUUCAAUGAGUGUUUGCAGAGGGAAAGGAGGAAAGAGGUGGGUAGCGAGGCUAAAGAAGCAGUGAGACCACCAGCCAGGCAGACAGCAGUGCCAGACUUCCCAAAAGGAUUUUAGCUCGCCAGUUUGGGGGAGACCACCUCGGGGAGAGCUACAGAGCGGUUGGCCAUGGCAGUUCAGUGGUGGCAGGGAUGUAAUUCCCACGGCAAUCACUGGCAGGACCCCCGGGAAUCCCUCUUUCUUGGCCUCGCCGGAGACUUACCCUCCUGGAAGGCCAGCACGCCGAUCUGUGCUGGCCACGCUUCUGCAGAGCCACCAGCACAGCCAGAGGUCGGCUGUGCCAGAGGCUGCCUCAAAGCCCAGCGGCCGGGCCUUGCUAAGUCUUGUCACACUCCUACCACUUUCCUUGGAGGCCUCGGAAAUGUGAUAUUAUUGUAUCUUGUCAUUAUUAAAAAUGAUCAAAAACUGUCCACCUCCGUUUUUGGCGAAUUGCUUUUCUCUAUUUGCCUUCCUCAUCAGAUGAAAGAGUUUGCAGAGCUGGGACCUCAUUUAGAAACUCCCCAUGCAUAGCUUUUGAAAGUGCUUCUUAGUUCUCAAACUAGUACCCACUGCUGACGAAGGUUAUUGUAGCCGACACCCUGGAAUAC